CAUGUCAUUAUAUACAAAACAGAUCCGCAGAUACUUGGUACCAUUAUACAUUACACAUAUUUCUAUUAAUAACAAUUAUUUUUAAUACACAAAAUGGAACCAGGUUUCUAUGGUAUGGUUAUGCGUAAAAUAAAUUCAUAAUUUAAUUGUAAUUUUUUAUUGCAAAAUAAAACCACAAGCAUUCGGUUCUAUCAUGCAUAAAUAAAUAUUGUAAAACAUCCAGAAACCCAUCAUCGCUAUACGGAACCAAAUGCCUUGACUUGUGCACAAUGCAGAAUGCUUCUCAUCUUUAAACAACGUAUUUCAUUACGUCUUAAAUAGCUCAAAGUGCAAAACUCCAAUUUUUAAAGUAAAACGUCGAACAUCUGUCAAUAUAGGUGACAUUCAGCUAAGUAUUUCGAAUACGUGACGGCCGUUUUUUUUCUCCGCGAAGUAAGUUCUAUUGUUUUUGUUAAUUACCUUUAAAAUUAAAUGUGAAAAUGUUUAGUAAUAAAUAAAUAAGGAAGCAAUUGGAAAGAAAAGCAUUGGAGACGAACACCGAAGAUAAUAAUGAAGAUACAACGGAAGAUAACGAAGAACCUUAUACGUCGAUGCCUCUGGAGAAGCUUUCUUCACCUUCAAGCGAUAUUCAGGCCAUAUUACAUCUCAUUCCACAAUAUGCACAGAGUUUUUAUAACAAUCUUAUUAGUGAUGAUGCAAUAGAUGACCACAUAGAUGGACUAGACAAGGUGGAUUUCGAAAUCCAAUUUGAUGAUAACGUCGAAUAAACGUCCUCUAUAUGUAUUAUUUUAUAUAUCUUUUUAAUAAAAGCUUUAUUACGAUAUUAUAAA